CUCGGCCCGGUCCGGCCCAAUAAUUAAUUAAUCCAAUUAAUUAAACCCGGUCCGUGAAUUAAUUAAUCCAAUUAAUUAAUUCGAAAAUAUAAAUAACAAAUCCAAUUAAUUAAUUUAUCCAACGAUUGUUAAAUUAAUCAAUUGGCAAUUUGCAAUCUUCCAAUUCUCUUUUGUGUGUGACCCAUUAGGUUCCCGACCACGAUACCUAACGACGUGAAAUAUUAUUUUGAUCUAAUCAAAAUUGAUAAAUUAAAACACCCCUUUUAAUUUAUCGUCAAUUCACAUUCGCCGUCCCUGAUUGACAUCUAGCAAUGUGUCAGGGCAAUACAUGUGACGGGAAAUGUCACGUGGUAUGACAAAACCAAAUUCGUUCGUUUACCGUGAAACUAUAAUCCCUUCGUCAAUAUGAUCCGAUCAAUUACGAGAUAUGGAGUUGUGUCAAUCUCGAUCAUCGAUCAUAUCUUUCACUCCACUAUUAAGUCAAUAUAAAUCGAAAACUCCUUUUCGACUUAUGAGUACACCUUGGCCAAGGAUUUCAUCAUUGACUUAAUUGAAUGAAACGUAGAUCAUAAUCUCCUACUAUCUAAGAGUGACGAAUCCUUUAUUGAUCAAUCACAACCUUCA
rnacentral:lncRNA from 1 species